rnacentral:rRNA from 1 species
AACUUCAGCAACGGAUCUCUUGGCUCUCGCAUCGAUGAAGAACGCAGCGAAAUGCGAUAAGUAAUGUGAAUUGCAGAAUUCAGUGAAUCAUCGAAUCUUUGAACGCACCUUGCGCUCCUUGGUAUUCCGAGGAGCAUGCCUGUUUGAGUGUCA